GACGAACGCUGGCGGUGUGCUUAACACAUGCAAGUCGAACGGUAAGGCCCUUUCGGGGGUACACGAGUGGCGAACGGGUGAGUAACACGUGAGUAACCUGCCCUCAUCUCUGGGAUAACAGUCGGAAACGGUUGCUAAUACUGGAUAUGAGCUUGCAAGGCAUCUUGUGGGUUGGAAAGAUUUUUUUGGUUGGGGAUGGACUCGCGGCCUAUCAGCUUGUUGGUGAGGUAGUGGCUCACCAAGGCUUCGACGGGUAGCCGGCCUGAGAGGGCGACCGGCCACAUUGGGACUGAGAUACGGCCCAAACUCCUACGGGAGGCAGCGGUGGGGAAUAUUGCACAGUGGACGGAAGUCUGAUGCAGCAACGCCGCGUGCGGGAUGACGGCCUUCGGGUUGUAAACCGCUUUCAAUUGUGACGAAGCUUUUUGUGACGGUAGCAGUAGAAGAAGCACCGGCUAACUACGUG
rnacentral:rRNA from 1 species